rnacentral:rRNA from 1 species
GAUGAACGCUGGCGGCGUGCCUAAUACAUGCAAGUCGAGCGAACGGACGAGAAGCUUGCUUCUCUCACGUUAGCGGCGGACGGGUGAGUAACACGUGGAUAACCUACCUAUAAGACUGGGAUAACUUCGGGAAACCGUAGCUAAUACCGGAUAAUAUUUUGAACCGCAUGGUUCAAAAGUGAAAGACGGUCUUGCUGUCACUUAUAGAUGGAUCCGCGCUGCAUUAGCUAGUUGGUAAGGUAACGGCUUACCAAGGCAACGAUGCAUAGCCGACCUGAGAGGGUACUCGGCCACACGGGAACUGAGACAAGGUCCAGACUCCUACGGGAGGCAACAGUAGGGAAUCGUCCGCAAUGGGCGAAGACCUGACGGAGCAACGGGGCGUGAGUGAGGAGGGGCUUCGGAUCGUAAAAGUCUGUUAUUAGGGAAGAACAUAUGUGUAAGUGACUGUGCACAUCUUGACGGUACCUAAUCAGAAGGCCACGGCUAACUACGUG